GCACUGGGCGGUGCGAGCCUCUGCGUCACGCCCUCCUUAAAGGGAGACUCUGUCCGGCCUCCAGGGACGCUCAAGGAGCCCUGGCAUCUGAGCCGGAGGAGUCUAGCAAAUAGAGGUCCUCAGAUUAAAAGGAACGUCCCUUUCAAUCAGCUCACCUGAACUUCCAUAAACUCACCCCAAAACGAGGUGUCAAGGAUCGUCCAGCCAUCAGGCGCGCAGGAGCCUGAGGCAGAAGGAGCAUAUUGAGUUCAAACUAGUCUGGGAUACCGACACAGACCUGUCUCAGAUUCGACAAAUAGAUAAAUGGAUGGAUGGAUACACAGUGCAGGGUUAGGAGUGGAUAUGGAAUUCGUUUCGUUGGAUUUGGUAGUGUCCACUAAUUCGUUUUCUUUUGAAAGUCGUCACACACUUAUUCUAGAGAACUUCAGAAAGCAAAGCCAAGUCUUGUGGGUGGAUGUUGUAGAAGAGCAGAUUUCAACUCGAGAUACCUGAGAAAUCCCUUCCCGUGACCGCCUCUCAUAUCCCUUGUUGACAACACGGAGCAGGCCACAGGCUUGCCUGAACAGUGCUACUUAACUAAAAAUAGAAAUAGUGUAUGCUUGUUAUAGAAAGCUUGGAAAACUCAGGAAAUGUUUUAAAAUAAAAACCCAUACCCAUA